rnacentral:rRNA from 1 species
AUUGAACGCUGGCGGCAGGCCUAACACAUGCAAGUCUAACGAGUGGCGGACGGGUGAAUAAUGUCUGGGAAACUUCCUGCUGGAGUGGGAUAACUACUGGAAACGGUAGCUAAUACCGCAUACCAUCAGAUGUGCCCACAUGGGAUUAGCUAUUUGGUGGGGUAACGGCUCACCAAGACGACCAUCCCUAGCUGGUCUGAGAGGAUGAACAGCCACACGGGGACUGAGACACGGUCCAGACUCCUAAGGGAGGCAGCAGUGGGGAAUAUUGCACAAUGGGCGCAAGCCUGAUGCAGCCAUGCCGCGUGUAUGAAGAAGGCCUUCGGGUUGUAAAGUACUUUCAGCGGGGAGGCGUUACCCGCAGAAGAAGCACCGGCUAACUCCGUGCCAGCAGCCGCGGUAAUUC